rnacentral:SRP_RNA from 1 species
GCUGGGUGUGGUGGCGCGUGCCUAUAAUCCCAGCUACUGGGGAGGCUGAGACAGAAGAAUCGCUUGAACUCAGGAGGUGGACGUUGCAGUGAGCCGAGAUUGCGCCACUGCACUCCAGCCUGGGUGACAGAGUGAGACUCUGUCUCAA